UGGUGCUUCUAGAACUUAUCACUGGAAGAAAACCUAAAUAUCAAGGCAUUGACAUUGUUUGUUGGGCAAAAGCUCGAAUUAGACAAGCUUUGAAUGGACAAUAUACAGACUUUGUUGAUUCAAAUUUGCAAAGCUAUGAUAGAAGUGAAAUGGAAUGGAUGAUUUCUUGUGCUGCAGUUUGUGUUUAUAAUCCUUUUGAGUCUCGCCCACAAAUGAAAGAGAUAGUUCGAGCUCUUGAAGGAUAUGGUCUUCCAAAGGAUAAGGCUGCAGAGCAAUGUGGAUGGCAAGCUGGUGGUGCGUGGAGUUGGUGGUGAAGGUGGCUGCGUAGACCUUGGAUGUGCUAACACACCUGAAUAUUGUGGCAGUGGCUGCCAAAGCCAAUGUGAUGGUGGAGUUGGUGGUGAAGGUGGCUGCGUAGACCUUGGAUGUGCUAACACACCUGAAUAUUGUGGCAGGGGCUGGCAAAAAAUAGUAUCAUCUCAAGAUCAACGUUUGAGGAGAUGCUUAAACAUAGAAAUAAUGCUGCUUGCCCUGCCAAGGGAUUCUAUACCUAUGAUGCUUUUAUAUCAGCAGCCAAAGCAUUUCCAGCCUUCGGCACCACUGGAGAUGUUGAUACAUGUAAAAGGGAGAUUGCUGCAUUCUUUGGCCAGACAUCUCAUGCAACUACAGGAGGGUGGCCAACUGCACCAGAUGGACCAUAUGCUUGGGGAUAUUGCCACAAGGAGGAGCUAAAUCAAGCGUCGUCUUACUGUUCUCCAAGUCCCGCUUAUCCUUGUGCUCCUGGCAAGAAAUAUUACGGUAGAGGUCCCAUCCAACUUUCAUGGAAUUAUAAUUAUGGGCAAUGUGGGCAAGCCUUAGGAUUAGACCUAUUGAACAAUCCAGACCUUGUAGCGACAGAUCGAGUCAUUUCUUUCAAGGCAGCAAUUUGGUUCUGGAUGACUCCACAAUUUCCAAAGCCCUCUUGUCAUGACGUCAUCACUGGACAAUGGUCACCCACCGGCCACGAUAUUUCAGCUGGAAGAGCUCCAGGUUAUGGUGUGAUAACAAACAUCAUCAAUGGUGGUCUUGAAUGUGGUAGGGGUUGGGAUGCUAGGGUUGAAGAUCGUAUUGGGUUUUAUAAGAGAUACUGUGAUAUGUUCGGAGUUGGCUAUGGCAGCAAUCUUGACUGCUACAAUCAAAAGCCAUUCGGAUUAGGGUGAGCACUAUUCGGUUUGAAUCGAAUAAAUCGAAUCGAAUCGUCCUAAUUCGAUAAUUUAGUUUAAUUUUUAAGGUAAUUCAG
rnacentral:misc_RNA from 1 species